CCUACGGGAGGCAGCAGUGAGGAAUAUUGGACAAUGAGCGCGAGCCUGAACCAGCCAAGUAGCGUGAAGGAUGACUGCCCUACGGGUUGUAAACUUCUUUUAUAAAGGAAUAAAGUGAGGCACGGGUGCCUUUUUGUAUGUACUUUAUGAAUAAGGAUCGGCUAACUCCGUUCCAGCAGCCGCGGUAAUACGGAGGAUCCGAGCGUUAUCCGGAUUGGUUGGGUUUAAAGGGAGCGUAGAUGGGUUGUUAAGUCAGUUGUGAAAGUUUGCGGCUCAAACGUAAAAUUGCAAUUGAUACUAGCAGUCUUGAGUACAGUUGAGGUAGGCGGAAUUCGUGGUGUAGCGGUGAAAUGCUUAGAUAUCACGAAGAACACCGAUUGCGAAGGCAGCUUACUAAACUGCCACUGACAUUGAUGCUCGAAAGUGUGGGGAUCAAACAGGAUUAGAUACCCGGGUAGUC
rnacentral:rRNA from 1 species